rnacentral:rRNA from 1 species
UGCCCUACGGGGCGCAGCAGUGGGGAAUAUUGCACAAUGGGGGAAACCCUGAUGCAGCAACGCCGCGUGGGUGAAGGAGCGUUUCGGCGCGUAAAGCCCUGUCAGCGGGGAAGAAGAAAGACGGUACCCGACCAAGAAGCCCCGGCUAACUACGUGCCAGCAGCCGCGGUAAUACGUAGGGGGCGAGCGUUAUCCGGAAUUAUUGGGUUUAAAGGGUGCGUAGGCGGAAUGCCAAGUCAGCGGUAAAAUCGCGGGGCUCAACCUCGCUCCGCCGUUGAAACUGGCGUUCUUGAGUGGGCGAGAAG